GUGGGGAAUAUUGGACAAUGGGCGCAAGCCUGAUCCAGCCAUGCCGCGUGAGUGAUGAAGGCCUUAGGGUUGUAAAGCUCUUUCACCGAUGAAGAUAAUGACGGUAGUCGGAGAAGAAGCCCCGGCUAACUUCGUGCCAGCAGCCGCGGUAAUACGAAGGGGGCUAGCGUUGUUCGGAUUUACUGGGCGUAAAGCGCACGUAGGCGGUUUGUUAAGUCAGUGGUGAAAUCCCGGAGCUCAACUCCGGAACUGCCUUCGAUACUGGCAAGCUAGAGUCCGGAAGAGGUAAGUGGAACUCCUAGUGUAGAGGUGGAAUUCGUAGAUAUUAGGAAGAACACCAGUGGCGAAGGCGGCUUACUGGUCCGGAACUGACGCUGAGGUGCGAAAGCGUGGGGAGCAAACCGGAUUAGAUACCCGGGUAGUCC
rnacentral:rRNA from 1 species